rnacentral:rRNA from 1 species
UACGUAGGUGGCAAGCGUUGUCCGGAUUUAUUGGGUUUAAAGGGUGCGUAGGCGGUCUAUUAAGUCAGCGGUGAAAUACUCCAGCUUAACUGGAGGGGUGCCAUUGAUACUGAUGGACUUGAGUCAAGUCGAGGUAGGCGGAAUUGACGGUGUAGCGGUGAAAUGCUUAGAUAUCGUCAAGAACACCAAUAGUGAAGACAGCUUACUGGGCUUAAACUGACGCUGAGGCACGAAAGUGUGGGGAUCAAACAGGAUUAGAUACCCUGGUAGUCCACACUGUAAACGUUGAUUACUCGCUGUUGGCGAUACACAGCCAGCGGCCAAGCGCAAGCGAUAAGUAAUCCACCUGGGGAGUACGCCGGCAACGGUGAA